UCAGAUUAAAUGGAACCCUAUGGCAAUGUUUUAUUCUGAGCAUAAAUAUGUGUGCAACCUGUUGAAAGGAGGAGUUAAUUUUCUGAAGUUAUACAGACUGCUGAGAAGUGAACAAAAUGUAUCAAGGCUGCAGAUAAAAAUAUAAUUGUGAAUUAGAAAGCAAGCAGCUUAUUUCCUGGAUAUUUUAAAUGAAGCCAAGGAGAAUAUACAUUUAAAAUUACACAUCUCUAGACUGCCUAAAGAUUUCAUAAAAUGGUGCCUCCAACUUUGUUAGUUAUUCUCUUUUUUAUAUCAAAGUAUUUCUAUGGUAUUUUAACUUUUCUUAAAGUGUAUUAGUGGGUUUCUAACAUAGAUUACCUGUGUUCGAUUGACAGAAAAUCAUUUAUCACUUUUUUAUUUUGUUUUACUCUAGUCUGUGUAUUUUUAAUUUAUAAUAUAUAUAAAUUUAUAAAUGUAUAAAUUUAUAAUUUCACCCAUGAGGGGGAAAAUACUGUAACUAGCUCUGUCCUUCAAGUGGUGUUGAUUUUUCAAGUGGACACAUCAUCUUGUUUCCAAAAAUAGUGAUUUCCAUCUAAUAAAAAUUCUAAUUCUAUCCUA
rnacentral:lncRNA from 1 species